AGGGGUGUAGUUAAGUAUAACAUUUGAUUUGCAUUCAAAAAGUAUUGUUUCAAUCUUCCUUA
rnacentral:tRNA from 1 species